rnacentral:rRNA from 1 species
AUGAUCUGGCAUGUACAAAAUGAAAACUUCAUUCUCGAUUCUACGGGAAUUUUUAUGGAAGCAUUUCAUUUGCUUCUCUUCAAUGAAAGUUUCAUUUUCCCAGAAUGUAUCCUAAUUUUUGGCCUAAUUCUUCUUCUAAUGAUCGAUUCAACCUCUGAUCAAAAAGAUAGACCUAUGUAUUCACUAGCCGUGGGUUCGUCGAAAAAUAGUCUCUCCGCCCAGGAACCUGUCCAAAAUUACAACACUGGAACCAUUCUGGCAACACCAAGGGCAUCAGAUAACCAAGACAAUUCAGUCGGACAUCACAGUUUAGUUUCGGUACAUCAGGCGAAUCGAGGCCAAGAUGAAAGAAAUAGUUUUCGGUACACAUGCAGCUCCAGUGGGAUAUUGCCAUGCCCCCACAAUAGAGAAAUCUACUUGGGGAAACACUCAAAAGUCAUUCUCCUAAGCUAG